UACGGAGGGUGCAAGCGUUAUCCGGAUUCACUGGGCUUAAAGGGUGCGUAGGUGGGUUUGUAAGUCAGUGGUGAAAUCUCCAAGCUUAACUUGGAAACUGCCGUUGAUACUAUAAAUCUUGAAUGUUGUGGAGGUGAGCGGAAUAUGUCAUGUAGCGGUGAAAUGCUUAGAUAUGACAUAGAACACCAAUUGCGAAGGCAGCUCACUGCACAAAGAUUGACACUGAGGCACGAAAGCGUGGGGAUCAAACAGG
rnacentral:rRNA from 1 species